rnacentral:rRNA from 1 species
UACGUAGGCAGCGAGCGUUGUUCGGAGUUACUGGGCGUAAAGAGUGCGUAGGCGGUUUUCUAAGUUUGGUGUGAAAUCUCCCGGCUCAACUGGGAGGGUGCGCCGAAGACUGGAAGGCUUGAGUAUGGGAGAGGUAAGCGGAAUUCCUGGUGUAGCGGUGAAAUGCGUAGAUAUCAGGAGGAACACCAAUAGCGAAGGCAGCUCGCUGGGACGGUACUGACGCUGAGGAGCGAAAGCGUGGGGAGCGAACAGG